GGGGAUGUGGCUCAAGUGGUAGCGCACUCACCUAGCAUGUGUGAGGCUCUGGGUUCGAUUCUCAGCACCACUU
rnacentral:tRNA from 1 species